GCUGGUAGUGGGUGUGGAGAGGGGGCGGCCCGGCUCAGCAGGUCCGGCCCCCAACCCCGGGGUGAGGAGGACUCCAGGGUCUCUGGCCUGUGCAGCGGUCACAGCUCCGUCACAGGUUCUUCCGCCCACCUAAAUUUUAGGCCAGCCGCCUCUCCCUUUCCCUCAGCUUUUGCCCGGAGGCUCCCAGCUACAAUUUGCACAGCCUUUCCAGGCCUACCCUCCCCCAGCUCACAAGCUUUUGGCUUGAGGGGAAAAGGUGGGGAGAGGCACAUACCAGGGUGGGGCCCCCCAGCAGGUAGCAACCGCUCUAAACCGGCCUUGAGUGAAUGAAGUGGCUGCCCUUGUACCAGCAAUAGCUUUGAGUGGACACUUCCAGUCUGCUUUCCUUCAAGGCGUACUCCUCUCUGGCCCCGUACCCACUCUCUACCCCCAUAUAGGAAGGACACAGCAAAGGCCCCUGCUUUAGGGCCAGAGGUCUAGUUUGGUUUCAGAAAACACCUCCAGGUUUUCCCUGGGAGUUAGGCCGGGAGAAUGAAUUUUACCAGCUUCCAAGAUUUCUGCUCACAGUUGAGUCCCCAGCCGGCAGGAGUCUGAAGGAAGGAAGCCAAAGUCCUUGCCUAUGACACCAGUGGAAAAAAUCUGUUUCUCCUGGGGUGUCCAAGGUACACAAUGCUCCUCCCAGGAACGACUGUGUCUGUCUGGGACUCCAGCAGCCUGCGCAAGGUCCCACAGGCCCUUUGUCUUUCAGGUUUUCUGAAACUGCCGUGGGAAGUUAUCUACCACCCUCAACACACACACACACUCAGGAUGACAAUGAACAGAGCCCGUUUACAUCUGCCACUUCAUUUAUUUUAUUUGCAGGAGGAGUUGAAACAAAUUUUAAGGGAGAUUUUCAUUUUCCCCCUAAACAUGAAUCAUUCAAGUAAAACCAACUUAACUAUAGAAAUGUAGCAAAGUAAGGGGAAAGCAGCACAACAACCCAAGAGGCAAAGGCUGGGGGGGAGAGGUGGGUGCAGUCCGCAUAUAACAUAUGCAUAAAUGCCUUAUGAUUCACCUGCUCAGGACCGCCUCCCCAGAAGGCAAGCACAAGGACCCAUUUUAAGAGGAUGUUUCCCCCCAAACAUCUGAGAAUGCUUCAACUUAAACAGCUUAAGGUUAAAAAGACAAAGAAAAAAAAAAAAGAAA